GAACUCUAGCAUAUAUGCGAGUGUUUUGAAAGGGAAACGAUUGAAGUCAGUCGUACCUGCGGGUAAUCAGCCUUUUGGGCAUGAUUCUGUGGAGCGUGAGGAGUUAAACGCCUUCAUGCCUGCAUAUUCGUGUACUUUGGGUGUACUUGCCUGUGUGGUUAGUUAACAUCAAUUUUGGUUAUCAUAAAAUGUUGGAGGAAUGUAGCUUCGAUCUCGUAUUGAAGUGUUAUAGCC
rnacentral:rRNA from 1 species